rnacentral:lncRNA from 1 species
GUGCUUUCAUCGGAGCUGGCCCCUGCCCCAGCCAGCACCAGCCCUCAAAGACUUUUUUAUUCUAACAUAGCCCGAGUAUGUUAGGAAACUAGAGCUGCAUAACCACUGCCUCUUAACUCUGCUAGCCCUGGCAUCUUAUCUGUACGAUUUCUGCAGUGAUGGGAGGGAAGCUAGUAGCUCUCUAGUUCAUUAAACGGAACGUCUGUCUAGGAAGAUACCAGGAAGAUAUUUUAUAAAUGAAUGUCGAUAUUUUUCCUUCCAAUGUAAUUAGAUAUUCUGUUUCAAUCUAAGGCUCUUCUUACAGGCAAAAGGAAUAAUGAAGCUUUCAACCAUGAUACAACUGAGAAGAUUUCAGCAUCCACACAGAAAGAAAAGCAGGGCAAUGCACCCUCCAAGCUUAGGAAGGAGGCAGCCAGAGAACUCCUGGCUCCUUUGUGGGCUUCACUGAGAAGAUGAACCUGCCGAUGAGGUGUGCAGAGAACUUUGGCUGCACAAGUUAAGAGGAAGAGGCUGAGUCUCAUCUCAGAGAGUGCUGGUAAUGCCAAGCACAGCAGAGCUGCCAGAGGGAUCUACUUGGAAUCUGGGGAGGCCCUGGGGAGACUAACUGGUACAAUUUAAAGAGAUGCAAAGCAAAUGAUAUGCGGGGCACUCAUGUGAAAAGCCUGCUGCCUUACAGGAUGGACUCCAGCUGCUCAGCGGGACGGGCCGUUGGGGGCUGGGUUUUGGGAGGGCAAGAGGGCCCCGGAUGGAGUGAUGGACACUCUAACUCACUACUCAGCCAUGCAAUACAGUCCAGAUUGUUCAACAACUCUGAGAAUAAAUGCUCUUUUUAAAAAAAUUGGUGUCAAACCUACUGUACUGGGUUGAUGUGAAAUUGAGAUUGAAAUAAGUUGUAUAUAAAAUGUCUGGCACAUAGUAGUGAUCAAUAAAUAUUAAUCCC